CCUACGGGUGGCAGCAGUCGAGAAUCAUUCACAAUGGGGGAAACCCUGAUGGUGCGACGCCGCGUGGGGGAAUGAAGGUCUUCGGAUUGUAAACCCCUGUCAUGUGGGAGCAAAUUAAAAAGAUAGUACCACAAGAGGAAGAGACGGCUAACUCUGUGCCAGCAGCAGCGGUAAUACAGAGGUCUCAAGCGUUGUUCGGAAUCACUGGGCGUAAAGCGUGCGUAGGCUGUUUCGUAAGUCGUGUGUGAAAGGCGCGGGCUCAACCCGCGGACGGCACAUGAUCCUGCGAGACUAGAGUGAUGGAGGGGGAACCGGAAGUCUCGGUGUAGCAGUGAAAUGCGUAGAUAUCGAGAGGAACACUAGUGGCGAAGGCGGGUUCCUGGACAGUAACUGACGCUGAGGCACGAAGGCCAGGGGAGCGAAAGGGAUUAGAUACCCCUGUAGUC
rnacentral:rRNA from 1 species